GUGCUCACCUCAGUGGCACAUAUGCUAAAAUUGGAACAGUAGAGAGAAGAUUAGCAUGUGGCCCCUGAGCAAGGAUGACACACAAGUUCGUGAAGCAUUCCAUAUCUUU